AGGUGUUUGUUAUAGCAAACCCACCAGAUUGUAUAUAAGGUGUAUUCUUCAAUAUUGAAUUAAUGAAGAUCACUCUUUAUUUUUCCACAUGGUAUCAGAGCAAAUGAGCAUUAACGAGACUGAUUUCAUGGCUUCCUCUUUUGCCAUGACUUUUUCUUCUCCAUCUUCAUCUUCAUCUUCAUCUUCUUCCUCCAUUCCCUCCAAUUUAGCUUUGCUCAUCUCGAAUUUAUCAUAUUUUGUGACAAUCAAAUUGGAUUCAUCCAAUUUCUUGAUCUGGAAAAGUCAAUUCUAGAACAAUUUACGAGCCACGUAACUUCUUGGCUAUGUUGAUGGUUCUAGGGCUUGUCCACCAAUAAAGAUCAAAGAUUCAUCUGUUUCUGAGAUUGUUAAUCUAGAUCGAGUGCAGUGGGAGGUAAUCGAUGCACACUUGCUUAGUUACAUUACAACAACUUUAUCUCCACUGAUCUACUCCACUGUUCUUCAUCAUCAACAUUGUGCUAAUGUUCGGAAUGCUUUAAUCAAGCAAUUUAUAACACUUUCACGAUCACACAUUCGUCAACUUAAAAAUAAGUUGAAAAAUGUGAUCAAAAAGUUGAAUCUAUGGAUGAGUAUUUGAUGAAGAUUAAAGAUUUGGCUACUCAAUUAGCUCUUGCAUCUACAGUAAUUGAAGAUGAAGAUUUGGUGUUAAUCACACUCAAUGGUCUCCCUGAAGAAUCUGACUCUUUCAAGACUAUAAUUAGAGCUUGAUCUAAGUCCAUCUCAAUAAAGGAAUUAUGUUCUCUUCUUUGCUCAAAGGCUAAUCAUGUCGAGAUGAAAAACAAGAAAUCCAAUCCGACUGAACAUCCUAAUGUUGCAUUCUCUGUUACACGAGGUUCAACUUCAUCAUCUUCUAACUUUAGCUAUUCUAGAGGUCAUUCCCCUAAUUACUGAAGAUGAACUUCAUAUUAGAAUCGUGGCAGAGGAGGUAGAUUUUCUACUCAAAGUCACGGACAUAAAAGAUUUUUUUCAAAGAGAAAAGGUCAAUCUGGCCUAAUUAGCCAAAUUUGUGGUGUUUCUGGACAUGUCGCAUUCGAUUGUUGGUUUCGAAUGGAUUCACAAUUUCAGCCACAAUCUUCUUCUACUCACUCUUCUUCUCAAAAUUCUAGGGCAUUUGUGGCUUCAUCUUCUUCUUCCCAACCUUCUUCUUCUUCCACUCCUUAGUAUUUGGACUCCGCUACUACAGAUCAUAUUACUAAUGAUCUCCAGAAUUUUGAGUGUGUUUCAGCCAUAUCCUGGUUCAAAAUAGAUCACUAUAGGCAAUGGUUAACAAAUUUCUAUUCAACAUACUAGUAAGGGCAUAAUUCCUACUCCUACUUUUGCCAUUUCUUUCAACAAGAUUUUACACUCUUCUUUUAUUCCUUCUAAUCCGCUUUCAGUUCAUCAAUUAGCUAAAGAUGAUAAUUGUAUUAUCAUAUUUGAUUCUUCUCACUUUGUGAUUCAAGACAAGUACUCGAAGAAAAUUCUUCACAAGGAUACUAAUACUAAUGGUCUUUACCAUUUUCAUUCAUCUGCUAAUGUUGUUUCUUCGCUAGCAUCUUCUCCAUGUGCAUCUCAAGUUCACUUCAUGCUACUAAUAAAACUGUUUCUGCAGAUAUAUGGCAUAAGAGAUUGGGUCACCCUUCUACACAGAAAUUUUCUCAUCAAAAGAGAAAUAUUUCUUGUGUAUUUUCUACAUUUCCUAGUUCUACUUGUACUGAUUGUUGUGUAUCAAAGAGUCAUAGAUUACCUUUUCACUUGUCCAAUUCCACUGUUAAUAAACGAUUUCUUUUUAUACACAGUGACAUUUGGGGUCUGUUCAAUAAAUCUACUUCUAGUUUCAAGUAUUAUGUGCUUUUGUGGAUGAUUUUAAUAGAUUUACCUGGUUAUAUCAUUUAGUCUACAAAAGUGAAGUUUUUGCCAAGUUUUUAGAGUUCAAAAAAUAUGUUGAAAAACAGUUUACUACUUAUUUUGCAAGUUUUUCGAACUGAUGGUGGGACUGAAUAUUUCAGUAAGAAAAUGCAUGAUUUUUUGGUCACUCAUGGCAUUGUUCAUCAGUUUUCUUGUCCAUACACAUCUGCUCAAAAUGGUGUUGCCGAAAGAAAACACAAACACAUUAUGGAAACUAUAAUAACUUUAAUUCAUCAUUUAUCUCUUCCUCUUCAUUAUUGGUUUGAGGCUAUUGCUACUGUUACUUUUCUCAUUAAUCGGACGCCUUCUUCUGUUCUUCAUAAUAAAUCUCCUUUUGAGGUGUUUUUUUAUUGUGUUCCAAAUUAUUCAUUUUUUAGAAUUUUUGGGUGUCAAUGCUUCCCAUGGCUUAGGUCUUAUGGGUCUUCAAAGUUUCAUCCUCGAUCUCUCUUAUGUCUUUUUAGGUUAUCACCCAUUUGCUAAGGGGUACCAGUGUUUUGAUCCUCGCACUGGGAAAGUUUAUUUGUCUCGCUCUGUUGUUUUCAACGAAUCAAUUUUUCCUUUUAAUUCUCUUUCUUGUAGUUCUUCUGUCACUUCUUUACCAUCUCUACACUCUUUUCUUUUGGUCUAGUUGUGCUCCUCCUCCACCUAUGUCUUCACAAGUUCUAGUUUUAGCCCCCAGACCAUCUCAGUCAUGUUCAGACCAUGCCUCAGCUCAGAAUUCCCUGUCUGCUGCAGUCCUAUCAGCCUCACUACCUGAACUGCAGCCUGAUUUGUUGCAUUCCUCUAUUUUGCGGCCUGCAUUGUUGCACCUACAUCCUUAAGUACACUUGCCUCUAUUGCCCCUACUACAUUGGCUACACAAACUGUUGCACCUGAUGUUUUAGCUACACAUCUUGCUUCUCAGCUACCAUAUCAGCCUACUUCUAUUAUGUCUUGUCCUCUUAUUCCUAUUCAAUCCAUUACUAUUCAAUCACCUCAUUUACCCCUACGUUCAUCUAACCGAAUCAUUUGAUUACCAGAUCCAAAUCUACAUCAUCUGCCUCUAUUAAUGUGGUUUUUCCUGCUUUAUACACAGAUUCUAAGCCACCUAACUGCAAGUUUGCCCUGUCUCCUUCACUUUAGCACAAAGCCAUGGCUAAAGAAUUUACUACUUUGCACAAACAGAGUACUCGGUCUUUGGUUUCAUUACCCCCUGGCAAAAAUGCAAUAGGAUGUAAGUGGAUUUUUAAGCUUAAAAGAAAUUCUAAUGGUUCUAUUGAUCACUAUAAAGCUCGAUUGGUUGCUAAAGGGUAUUUACAAGAAGAGGGUAUUGAUUUCCAAGAGACUUUUAGUUUCAGUCCCGUAGCUAAGCUUCCAACUAUUCUGAUUUUGCUAUGUCUUGCUCUUCAUCGCUAUUGGUCUUUAAAGUAGUUGGACAUCUCCAAUGCCUUUCUUUAUGGAAAACUUGAGGAAGAGGUAUAUAUUCUUCAACCUCCAGGGUUUGUUGAUUUCUCCAAACCUUCAGGUGUGUGCAAGCUCCAUAAAGGCAUUAUAUAGGCUUAAACAAGCUCGCCGUGCAUGGUAUUCUACUUUUUCUGUGUUUUUUCUUUUUCAAGGUUUUCAUAACAGUCACUGUGAUACGUCUCUUUUUAUUCAUAAGAUUUCCACUUCCAUCACCUAUUUUGUGGUUUAUGUAGAUGAUAUUCUGUUGACUGGUAGUGAUCCAUCUUUUCUUUAGUCCUUAAUUCAUCAAAUGCACUAAGCAUUUUUCAUGAAAGAGUUGGGUAAUCUCUCAUAUUUUCUUGGCAUAUCCGUGUAAACAUCUGGGAUUCCCUAUUUUCUUUCUCAACAAAAGUAUGUUCAAGAAAUUAUUUUUUGUCAGUGAGACUAGCCUUAUGAAUAAUUUCUUGAGCAUACUUUUGUUGAGAAAGAAAAUAGGAAGACCCAGAUGUUUGCAUCAAUAUGCCAAGAAAAUAUGAGAGAUUACCCAACUCUUUCAUGAAAUAUGCUAAGGGCAUUUGAUGAAUUAAGGACUAAAGAAAAGAUAGAUCACUACCAGUCAACAAAAUAUCAUCCACAUAAAUCACAAGAUAGGUGUAACGGCUCCACCACGUAUAAUGAUUAGAACUUAAUUAAUUAAAGAGAUUUGAAAUUUAAUUGCCAUUUGUUAUAAUUUAAUAUGGGAUUCACGAAAAUUAUGGAGUUUGAUUUGUAUAUGAUUUUAUUAAAAAUUCAUUUUGAAAUUAGAAAUUAAGGGUCCAAGUGGCUUAAGGAAGUGAAGUUAAGAAGUUGAAUCAAUUUAAUCUUAAUUACAGACUCAUUUGGGAGUUUAAUUAAAUUUUCGAUUCAGUUUAGUGAAAUUGAGAUUCGAUUAAUUAGAUCUUAAUUGGAGUUAAUCAAGUCAAUUAAAUUAUCAAGAUUGAGAAUUGUGAUUAUUACGAAUUAAAUUUAUUUAUGGGGUGUCCAAUUUGAAUAUGUAACUUGACGGAAAUUUGGAGUCUGGUCAGAAAUUGAAGGCCUUAAUGAUUUAAGGAACUGGUAUUGAAGAUGAAAAUAAGUUUAAUUUAAUAUUUGGAGUCUUUUAGAAGUCUGACUAAAAAUCUGAUUCAGAAUGAUAAAAUUAAAUAAAAUUAGUUGGGCCUUAAUGGAAGUUAAAUUAGACUAAUUAAAUUAUGUGGGAUUUGUGAUUAGUUAUGAUUAAUUAAUUACGUAUUAACCACGAUUUAUUAAGACGAAGUGUUGCUUAAUUAAAAUUUAUCCUAAGCAUAAAUUGCCUUAAGGAACAAACUAGAAUUGUGGGUGUGGGUGCACUUAGAAAUUUAGGUGGGUGUACUGAGAAAUCUGGUUGUGAUUUGUAUGUGUGUGUGUGUGUGUGUGUGUGUGUGUGUGUAUGUACGUGUAAUGUGAAGGCAGCACAUGAUAUAUAUAUAAAUAUAUUAAUAUAUGAGUUCUUGUAUUGAAAAGAGAUUGAGAACAAAAAAAAGGUAUGGCUUCAUUUUUGUUCUCCGCAAACCCGUGAGAGAGAGAGGGGGGGAAGGAAGCAAUUUCAGCUCAAGAAGAAGGAAAAAUAAGAGAAGAAAAGCUAGGAGGAACGAGGGAAUUAGAAGGGAAUCAACUAAACUCUUUGAGAUUAAAGUUUAAGGUGGGCAUCUGAGGCCUUAUAUCGACUUAACCCACUGUGUCCAGGCACCGGACCGGAGCUAGAAGCGUUAAGUUAAACUCAUGUUUUGUCCAGCCAACCGUUGUGCCUCACUUCGAGGUUCCGAGCCUUCUCGAGCCAAGGCUGUUUUGGGGGUGUUUCAGAUUCACCCUUUUUGUCUCUGUUAUGUAUCGACUGAUUAAGACUUGAUUGUAUAGUUAUGGUAAAAGGACUAGGUCCCUAACUCGUAUGCUAUGUGUAUAUGUAUAUGGUUGGAUAUGGUUAUGUCCACAAAAGUCUUUUUCCAUUCAGAUUUUCACAACUCAUUGGACAUCUUUUAUUUACUGUUUGGCUUCCGCCAGCCCAUUACUCUGUACUAUUGUCAUUACUGUUAAGCAGGCCUUUGGUAAUCAUGGAUUACUAGCCGGUUACGAUGUUAAAC